rnacentral:rRNA from 1 species
UGCCAGCCGCCGCGGUAAUACGAAGGGACCUAGCGUAAUUCGGAAUUACUGGGCGUAAAGCGCGCGUAGGCGGUUAAGUAAGUUAAUUGUGAAAGCCCAAAGCUCAACUUUGGAAUUGCAAUUAAAACUAUUUAGCUAGAGUUUAUCAGAGGAAAGCGGAAUACAUAGUGUAGAGGUGAAAUUCGUAGAUAUUAUGUAGAACACCAGUUGCGAAGGCGGCUUUCUGGGAUAAUACUGACGCUGAGGUGCGAAAGUAUGGGUAGCGAAGAGGAUUAGAUA